ensembl:lncRNA
GGAUUUAAAGAUCAGAGGUGUGCUCUUUUCUGUAGGCGGUUAUCAGUCAGCCUGAACUGACCAAACCUCAGCACCUGCUGACCAGCGGCUUUAAACUGCCUCCACCCUACAAUCCCCACCAUCACCAGGCGCAGAGUGAACGUUCAGGCUGGCUGCCGUUAGGAAUUCCACCUGUCCGAAUGGCCACUACGGUGUAAUACAACCUCAACUCGGUGACCAGUAAUAUUUUUCCAUGUCCUAAAGACAUUUGAUAAGAGACCUGGCAUUGUCCAGAUCUACCUCACACACUAUUCAUCAUCAACCAAAGCUUUAAUCAUUUCCUGUCAUACGUUUACAUACGCCUUGCAGAAUCUGCAAAAUGUUUUUAAAAAAUCGAACAUCCGGUUCAAAA